CCCUUAGAUGUUCUGGGCCGCACGCGCGCUACACUGACGAAUGCAACGAGCUUAUAACCUUGGCCGAAAGGUCUGGGUAAUCUCCAAAUUUCGUCGUGAUGGGGAUAGAUUAUUGCAAUUAUUAAUCUUCAACGAGGAAUGCCUAGUAAGCGCAAGUCAUCAGCUUGCGUUGAUUACGUCCCUCCCCUUUGUACACACCGCCCGUCGCUCCUACCGAUUGAAUGGUCCGGUGAAGCGUUCGGACCGUGGCCUUUGGACGGUUCGCCGUCUGUUGGCUGCGGGAAGUUCGUUAAACCUUAUCAUUUAGAGGAAGGAGAAGUCGUAACA
rnacentral:rRNA from 1 species